UGGCUGUCAUGGUCAUAAUUAAAGAAGGCUGCUUUCUAUCGAGCAUUUUGGGGCGUCGCUUCACACUCCACACUUGUUCAUCGCGUGCCUCACUCGGAAUUUCGGGUCGUUCUUCGUACUCGUGUGUGUAAACCACGAUCGCUACGGAACGCUAAGCAAUGGAAAUGACCCUUGAGGGAAGCAAUUCUGCAGAGACAUUUCCACCCGGAGUUGGCGGCGUGAGACUACACCGUGGCAAGAUAUGCGAAGUCUCGGGCUUGUCUAGUGGUCGACUUUUUUUUU
rnacentral:SRP_RNA from 1 species